AGAGUUUGAUCCUGGCUCAGGACGAACGCUGGCGGCGUGCUUAACACAUGCAAGUCGAACGGUGAAGUCCCUUCGGGGGCGGAUCAGUGGCGAACGGGUGAGUAACACGUGGGCAAUCUGCCCCUCACUGUGGGAUAACUCCGGGAAACCGGGGCUAAUACCGCAUAUGAAGCCUGGCGGCAUCGCCGGGUUUGGAAAGUUUUUCGGUGAGGGAUGAGCCCGCGGCCUAUCAGCUUGUUGGUGAGGUAAUGGCUCACCAAGGCGACGACGGGUAGCCGGCCUGAGAGGGCGACCGGCCACACUGGGACUGAGACACGGCCCAGACUCCUACGGGAGGCAGCAGUGGGGAAUAUUGGGCAAUGGGCGAAAGCCUGACCCAGCGACGCCGCGUGCGGGAUGAAGGCCUUCGGGUUGUAAACCGCUUUCAGCAGGG
rnacentral:rRNA from 1 species